CCUACGGGCGGCAGCAGUGAGGAAUAUUGGUCAAUGGCCGGAAGGCUGAACCAGCCAAGCCGCGUGAAGGACGAAGGUGCCAAGCAUUGUAAACUUCUUUUGUCAAGGGACAAAAUCAGGCUCGAGAGCCUGACCGAGGGUACUUGAAGAAAAAGCAUCGGCUAACUCCGUGCCAGCAGCCGCGGUAAUACGGAGGAUGCGAGCGUUAUCCGGAUUUACUGGGUGUAAAGGGCGUGUAGGCGGGACUGCAAGUCAGAUGUGAAAACCAUGGGCUCAACCCAUGGCCUGCAUUUGAAACUGUAGUUCGUGAGUGUUGGAGAGGCAGGCGGAAUUCCGGGUGUAGCGGUGAAAUGCGUAGAUAUACGGAGGAACACCAGUGGCGAAGGCGGCCUGCUGGACAAUAACUGACGCUGAGGCGCGAAAGCGUGGGGAGCAAACAGGAUUAGAUACCCUUGUAGUC
rnacentral:rRNA from 1 species